rnacentral:rRNA from 1 species
AAUCAGUUUGACUUUAGCUGACAUAUUAGCCCGACAAUCCUUCUACAUGUAAGAACAUGCGCGCCCACAAAAUACUAAAAGUAUUUCUACACUGAAUAGAGACCCCUUUAAAUAGCCCGCACAGUAAACAAAACUUCCCACUUUAAGUAAUUAAGAAGAGGGGAAUUGUACACAGAACUAGCAAAACUCGUGCCAGCCGCUGCGGUUAGACGACAAAUUCAAGCUAAUAUAUCAAUAAUUAUACAAGGGGUGAUUAAUCUAACCCAAAGGUCCAAUUUCUACGGCUCUGACCCCAAAUCACCCGCCUCACAUAUUGUGAAAGCAUACGCCCAAAACACGGAUUAGAUACCCGUUUAUUUAUGCCCUAAAUAAGUUAGUUGAAUAAUACGGCCAAAAGACUAAAAAUCAAAAAGCUUGGCGGUGCUUCACCAUACCAGGGGAACCUGUCCCAUAAAUCGAUAAUCCACGAACAAUUAACCUAUAUUAGCCCUAAGCAGCCUGUGUACUGCCGUCGCAAGCUAACCUUUAAAAGAAAGUUAGCAACCACACCUCAUAAUUACGUCAGGUCAAAGUGCAGCCAAUAUAUAGGAGGAAUGAUGGGUUACAACCUACACAAAGACAACGCACUAGAGCUACAAAAACUCUACAAAGGUGGACUUGAAUGUAAUCCAAGCUACAAAGCUUAAAUUAAUUUAGAUCUGAAGCAUGCACACAUCGCCCGUCACUCCCCCUCAAAGGGGGGAUAAGUCGUAACAUAGUUGGUGUAAUGGAAAUUGCACCUACAGAGUA